rnacentral:lncRNA from 1 species
AUCGCCACAAGACGGGCGGACGCGUGUUUUUCGUGCCAAAGCCUCUUCCUCUGCAGAUGACGUUGGUGAUUAAUAUCUGUGAGCAGCACUGACCUAUGCCUGAGUGAAGAGACAUAUAAGUAGGUGCAGAUUGGUGUAGGCUUUGUGCUGCCUUAUAACAGUGGCAGUAUAUUUAAAGUGUACAUCAGAUGCCAAGUGUGCAAUAGAUGUGGGCCUGUGGACACCAGCAGAAGCUGGGGAAAGACGCCUGACUGGGCAGGCCUGCCGCACAGUUUGGAUUCAACCAGAAAGAUUGCGGCAACGCCGGAGAAAGUGGCUGCUGUGAAGAGUGCAGAUUGGUGUGGGAUUUGUGAUGCCACUCAACAAGUGGCAUUACAUAAUAAAGUGUACCUCCGAAGCCAAGUGCGCAUUAGGUCUGGCACAGCAUCUGUGGACACCAACACAAGCUGGGGAAAGAAGCCCGACUGGGCCGGCCAGCCGGACUAUCUCUGAUGCAUCUGGGAAGCGUCUGGCAACACCAGAGAAAGUGGCUGCUGUGAAGAGUAAGUGAACAUUCACCUCAUAAGAAACUUGACUGUAUAUCUGAAAGUUAUCUGGAUAAGUUAACGUUGAUGUACACACAAUGGAAAGAAAUGCCAAAGCAAGAAUGAUGCGAGUGCCUAUACAUGUGUCUUUUUCUUAAGCCGUAUAUAUGCACUGUCAAAGCAGCAUAGGAUAAUAUUGAGAUAUUGGUUUCUUGCGAAAACUGUCUGCAGUUUCCCCUAUAAUCGGUUUCAAUGAGAAGCAAU